UUUGUUUAAUCACUGUACAGUGCCUAGCACAACAGAUCUUUGACCAUGACUAGGGCUCCUGGGCACUAUGCUAAUACAAAUAAAUAAUAACAAUGAUGAUGCAGAAUAGACCUGAGCUCUCCCUCCUGUAGCUGGGCUGGCUCUGCAGAGUUAAGAUGAGUAAAAUGCAACAAAUCCUCCCCCUUCUCAUUUUUGUCACGACCGUCACAGCUCUGAUUCCAAUACACACACACAGAGCAGGCCAGCUAAGGAGAUGUCAUUUUUAGCCAGUCACGUUUCAGAGCAAAAGCACAUCAUGGGACUGAAGUGACAACUUGCCGGCGGGGUAGCAAACAUAUUUUCUGAUGGGCAACCAAAUCUGAGAUUCAGGUUGUCUCUAGACUGUGCAGUCCUUUAAAUUCUGUCUUAUUUAGACUUAUAAUCUUGGGGGGAAGGAUUUUUUUAGAUGACUGAUGCAUUCAAAUUGUGUGAAUUGCAGUGAAGACAGGAGAGAAUCUAACUCUUUGCGUUUUUUGUUUGUUUGUUUUAACUAAAACAUCAGGAACCAAGUUCUUCAUACAGAUCAUGAGCCACAAGGGUUGAUAUUUUUAGGAGGAGAGUGACACUCAGAGACUGGCUCAAAGCGUCCUCCAGCAAAGCUUCAGUUCUUUCAGCAUCAAUCAAAUGGAUUUAGAAGGCAAGUAUGUUGAUGCUUUGGAUCCAGAGAGGUUAAUACAAUGUCCCUAUGAUAACUAUCAUCGAAUCAGGGCCUGUUGGUUUCCCUAUCAUCUUAUAAAGUGCAGGAAGGUAGGAUGCAUCCGAUGAAGUGAGCUGUAGCUCACGAAAGCUUAUGCUCAAAUAAAUUGGUUAGUCUCUAAGGUGCCACAAGUACUCCUUUUCUUUUUGCGAAUACAGACUAACACGGCAGGUAGGAUGGGAUGUUAAGGUCUCUAAUGCACUUGG